UAAGACAGAGGUUGCAAACGUUGUUCGGAAUCACUGGGCAUAAAGCGCACGUAGGCGGUCUGUUAAGUCAGGUGUGAAAGCCCCCGGCUCAACCGGGGAAUUGCAUUUGAUACUGGCAGGCUCGAGAACGGUAGGGGUGAGUGGAACUCCAGGUGGAGCGGUGAAAUGCGUAGAUAUCUGGAGGAACACCGGUGGCGAAAGCGGCUCACUGGACCGUCACUGACGCUGAGGUGCGAAAGCUAGGGUAGCAAACGGGAUUAGAUACCCCGGUAGUCCUAGCCGUAAACGAUCGGUACUGGGUAGGGGGGAUGCCUAUGGUCCUCUCUGCCGGAGCUAAUGUGUUAAGUACCGCGCCUGGGGAGUACGCUCGCAAGGGUA
rnacentral:rRNA from 1 species